rnacentral:tRNA from 1 species
GCCCGGGUGGUGGAAUUGGUAGACACGCAGGACUUAAAAUCCUGUUCGCAGCAAUGCGAGUGACGGUUCGACCCCGUUCCUGGGUACAA